rnacentral:rRNA from 1 species
UACGGAGGGGGCGAGCGUUAUUCGGAAUUAUUGGGCGUAAAGGGCGCGUAGGCGGCCUUGUAAGUCAAAGGUGAAAUCCCUCGGCUCAACUGAGGAACUGCCUUUGAAACUGCAAGGCUUGAGGCCGGGAGGGGGUAGCGGAAUUCCCAAUGUAGCGGUGAAAUGCGUAGAUAUUGGGAGGAACACCAGUGGCGAAGGCGGCUACCUGGAC